UGCUGUGAUGAAAUCACUAGUAGGAAGUGCCGUCAGAAUCGACAACUGACGAUAACUACUUUGGGCUGACU
ensembl:snoRNA Snord49a small nucleolar RNA, C/D box 49A